UCCGGCGUGCGCGGCGGGGGCGGCGGGGGGGGUCCCGGUGCCGGUAGCGGGGCGGCCGUUGGGCGGCGGUUGGGCGGCGGUUGGGCCGGCGGCGGCGGCGCAGGGAUGGACACGCUGGGCAGGAAGGUGGUGGUGUGCGACAACGGCACCGGGUUUGUGAAAUGUGGCUAUGCAGGCUCAAAUUUUCCAGAGCACAUUUUUCCAGCUUUGGUUGGAAGACCUAUUAUAAGAUCAACUGCUAAAGUGGGAAACAUUGAAAUCAAGGAUCUCAUGGUUGGUGAUGAAGCAAGUGAAUUACGCUCAAUGCUGGAAGUUAAUUAUCCAAUGGAGAACGGCAUAGUUCGGAACUGGGAUGAUAUGAAGCACCUCUGGGAUUACACGUUUGGACCAGAAAAACUUAAUAUUGACACAAAAAAUUGUAAAAUACUACUUACAGAACCUCCCAUGAACCCAACUAAAAAUAGAGAGAAGAUUGUGGAGGUUAUGUUUGAGACGUACCAGUUUUCUGGGGUGUAUGUAGCCAUUCAGGCUGUCCUUACUUUGUAUGCUCAAGGUUUGUUGACUGGGGUUGUUGUGGACUCUGGAGAUGGUGUGACUCAUAUUUGCCCAGUUUAUGAAGGUUUCUCCCUCCCUCAUCUCACCAGACGGUUAGAUAUUGCUGGGAGGGAUAUCACUAGGUACCUCAUUAAGCUCCUCUUACUGCGAGGGUAUGCUUUCAACCAUUCUGCUGAUUUUGAGACUGUUCGCAUGAUCAAGGAAAAGCUAUGUUAUGUGGGAUACAACAUUGAACAGGAGCAGAAACUGGCAUUAGAGACCACAGUACUAGUGGAGUCCUACACGCUCCCAGAUGGCAGGAUUAUCAAAGUUGGUGGAGAACGGUUUGAGGCACCAGAGGCUCUCUUCCAGCCUCACUUAAUCAAUGUAGAGGGGGUUGGUGUGGCUGAACUGCUGUUUAACACCAUCCAGGCCGCUGACAUUGAUACCAGGUCUGAAUUCUAUAAGCACAUUGUGCUGUCUGGAGGGUCCACCAUGUACCCCGGGCUGCCUUCACGACUGGAGCGGGAACUUAAACAGCUCUACCUGGAACGAGUUCUGAAAGGAGAUGUGGAAAAACUCUCGAAAUUUAAGAUCCGAAUUGAAGACCCACCUCGUCGAAAGCACAUGGUGUUUUUGGGUGGCGCGGUUCUAGCAGACAUCAUGAAAGACAAAGACAACUUCUGGAUGACCCGACAAGAAUACCAAGAAAAGGGAGUGCGUGUUUUGGAGAAGCUUGGUGUGACUGUUCGAUAAAUCCCAAAGUACCGUUGAGAUAACCGAAGGCUCUAUCUCCCUGUAAAAGAAAAACACUUGAUUUCCACACAAACGGAAUGAGCUUGCACAAGAGAAGUACCAGGAAAAUCCAUCUCUCCCGGCCAGGCUCUCCUCCCUGCUCCACUGAUGGAAAUGACCGAAGCUCUGAGACUUGCCGCGCACUCCUGGGGGCAGAGCAGAGCAGAGGCUCGUGCUUUGCUGACAGAGUCAUUCCCUCAAGCCUGGCUUUAGAAAUUCAUUAUAGCAACAGUUUGUCUCCCAGGCUCAAGCCAAACCUUUUGCUUAGUUACACAGAGAAGGGAACUUCUAUUGAAAUCAGCGUUAAAGACGCUGAAUGGUUUAUGUAACGUCGCAUCGGGCUUCCAAAGUGCUCCAUGGUAGAGCACAUCUGUAGUCAGCAAAAGGCUAUCUUGGGCCAGGGACUUUGCUCUUUGCCAUAUAUCACUGACACAUGCAAGUCUGCGGCGUAAUUCUGCUCCUGGAGUCACAGCUGAAGCAAGAUAACAGAGCUGGAAGCUUUGGGACUACCUGAAACGAAUGCUUUUUAAAACACUUUUUUCUUCUUAAAACUUUUGGAGCUGCCCCUUCCUGUUUAAUGAUAAACAAAUAACUCCCUGCGACACCAGCAUGAAAUUCUCAGUGCACUUCAUUCCUUUGCACGAGGACAAAAGCCCAGCCCCUCAGCCAGGGGAGCCUGAAUUUAUCCAGGAGUCCAUAGGAAACAGCUGUUGCUUUCAGCCCAGCCUCUCCUUUAUCUCCUUUAUUGCUUAUUCAUGUCUCAGCUAAUACUGGCCACUGCGAGCAGGUCAGGACUCUGCACUCUGAAAAGCUCCUCAGAAGCUGAUGGAAGUCAGCCCGGUGCCAGUGGGAUGGAGGAGCGGGGUCUUGCAUUAUUCAAUUCCCAGAUGGUGACAGAGGCAGGCCAGAUGUCUUCAGAUACUGUCGACUGUUAGUCGGCGUGGAGAAACCCUUUCAAGACCAGCUAACUAAAGUCACAAUGUGCACUCGAUUCGUUCGGCUGAACGAGGAUCUUCCUUGGCUGAGAGCAGGAUCUACGCGCAGCUGAAA